rnacentral:siRNA from 1 species
GUGAUUCCGGUAGAGGUGGUUGUC